rnacentral:rRNA from 1 species
AGAGUUUGAUCAUGGCUCAGGACGAACGCUGGCGGCGUGGAUUAGGCAUGCAAGUCGAACGGUAUGGUUCCUUCGGGGACCAGAGAGUGGCGAACGGGUGAGUAACACGUAGGUAAUCUACCCUCAAGACGGGGACAACCCAGGGAAACUUGGGCUAAUACCGGAUACGUGCGGCACAUUGGUGUUGCAUAAAAGGUGGCUUUUAGCUGCCGUUUGAGGAUGAGCCUGCGCCCUAUUAGUUUGUUGGUGAGGUAACGGCUCACCAAGGCGAUGAUAGGUAGGCGGCCUUAACGGGUGGUCGCCCACACUGGGAUUGAGAUACGGCCCAGACUCCUACGGGAGGCAGCAGUCGAGAAUAGUCUACAAUGGUCGAAAGACUGAUAGUGCGACGCCGCGUGAACGAAGAAUCCCUUCGGGGUGUAAAGUUCUUUUAUAUGUGAGCAGUGGUUUUCAUAUUAAUAGUAUGGGGACAGAGAUAUUAGCAUAUGAAUAAGCAACGGCUAACUCCGUGCCAGCAGCCGCGGUAACACGGGGGUUGCAAGCGUUGUCCGGAAUUACUAGGCGUAAAGGGCAGGUAGGCGGAUCAGUAAGUUUGAUAUUAAAGGUACCGGCUCACCCGGUGUACGGCAUCAGAUACUGCUGAUCUGGAAUACGGUUGGGGAAGACAGAAUUCCUGGUGUAGCGGUGGAAUGCGCAGAGAUCAGGAGGAAUACCUAAGGCGAAGGCAGUCUUCUAAGCCGUUAUUGACGCUAAACUGCGAAGGUGUGGGUAUCAAACAGGAUUAGAUACCCUGGUAGUCCACACAGUAAACGAUAAUCACUAGGUGUCGGGUUCUUAUAAUGGAUUCGGUGCCGUAGCUAACGCGUUAAGUGAUUCACCUGGGGAGUACGAUCGCAAGGUUGAAACUCAAAUGAAUUGACGG